UAGCUGCACUUACAGUUUGGAAUAAAGCUCGGUCAGAAGGUGAACUGGGGAGCAUUCGAGGUCAGGCAAGACGAGCAGCUGCUCCGAUAUUUAUUGGCGACGAGCGCCACAUGUUUUUUGAGAAAGACGAUGGCAAUCGAUCCACAGCAAUUAGUUUUAUGGCAUUUGCGAUCUUGUGCUACCUCACGAUCGAUGAAGUUUAUUUAAAUAAAAAAAAAGGUCAUUUCAGUGAACCACUUCGCUAGAUCGUAUAUGCUACUAAGUGCUGAAGGCUCCUCUUGCAAACAAAUUACCGUUUUAAUGUGUUAGCGUCUAGUUUCUCGUCUCAUGCACCUUCACCCACCCAGCAGCUUUGACCCAAGUUCAGGAAGUGAUAAUGCUACCUUAACACUUAAAACGUGUGUCACGCUCAACACACCCACUAAAUAGGAUUUGUUCCUCAGAAGCCGGCAACAUGAUAAUGAGAAGAAUGGAAGUCAGGACGAGCUAAGUAAUCUGCAACAGAUAGCACAAACCAUUCAAGUCCUUCUCUUGACGCAAGUGGCAAGAACUGGCAUUUACUCAACUACUGAUAAGAAAAUCGAGGCUUUUCUGGCCUUAAAGCGGUCAAGAGUUCGUAUUAACACUUGCACACAUCAACGAUCUGAGUUUUCCUUGUACUAUAAGGCAAGGAAUUAGUUUGGAGAUCCUUUCUCCUGAGCCGCCCACCGCUUCUACACCAGAAAAGAAAAAAAAAUAUACAAUUGAAACCAGCGAAAGAUAAGCCACGCCCACUUAGUGGAACGUAGAAGGGACGAGGAGGCGGGGCGGCAAGUGGUUUAGCCAAUCAAGUAGCGGAGUGCAAGGGCUGAAAGUAAGCAGCGAUUGGUAGCUCCUUAACAAUUUAAAGAAGAAGCAUAACUCAACAAUAAAACUGGGGGAGCUGGAACUUUUGAGAAGAAGCUGACACAACAAUAUAAGCCACCCAAGAUGGAACCCUGACCCAUCUCAAGCGCCUUCAACACCAUCCUACCUGUGCUCCUUAGGGA